rnacentral:rRNA from 1 species
GAUUGUCGACAACGGAUAUCUUGGCCCUCGCCACGAUGAAGAACGUAGCGAAAUGUGAUACUUGGUGUGAGUUGCAGAAUCCCGUGAAUCAUCGAGUCUUUGAACGCAAGUUGUGCCCAAGGCCGUAGGCUGAGGGCACGCCUGCUUGGGCAUCA